rnacentral:misc_RNA from 2 species
CAGAGUUCAUGCCCUCACGGGUAGAUCUCCCACCCUUGUGUAUUCUUACCUGUGUUGCUUUGGCAGGCCGCUGGGCUUCGGCCUGGCCACCGGCUGCAUGGCUGGUGCGCGCCUGCCAGAGGAUCUCCCAACUCUGGUCAUCAGUGUCGUCUGAGUAUCAUACAAUCGUUA